ensembl:lncRNA
AACAAAAAGGAACAAGUAAAAAGUGGUCCUACAAGUGUAAUAGAAUUUCAGAAAUACAUUUCAGACAUAUUUUUUGCAUGAUAAGUCUGAACAUUAUAGACCUGGAGAGAGUACGUUCAUUAAGUCAAGCUCUGCGUAUAGAACUUCAGACUUCACAGAGGACCUUGAUGGUGCUUAAUACUCGAUCUACUAAUAAAUGCACGAAUGGUGUCUUAUGCUUGUACUUUAGUUAACAGUAGUUGAACAAUCAAUAUUGAGCAAUAAACCAUAGGUUUAUUUACUUUCUAUUCCAAGAUUGGCAUAGACCAUAGCAUUGUUAUGAAUUGGGCUGUGCAUUUUCCUGUUUUUAAUUUUGUGGUUAACAGUGUAUUUUAGAAAAUGGAGUGGCAUUAACAGGAUCUUACAUAUGGUCCAAAAAUUGGAUUAGAAAUCUAAAGUUACAAAGUUACAUAGCCGGCGAUUGCAGGUGUAUGUGAAAAGUAUGUUGAUGACUUUCAACCUACUGGGUCUCAUCCUGCGCCAGUAUGAAGAAGCUGAGACACAGAGAGAUGUUAUUUCAUUUCAGUUCUGCACUGAAUAUUUUUAAAUGAAACAGUGAAUGCCAUGCAAAUGUGAGAUUCAAGUAAUGUAAAAGAGUAAUAUACUUUAGGUGUUAACAGUGUAGUUUGGGAGUUGAGAUAAAGAAUAGUCAAAAUUCAGAAAACACUUUGGAUUAAAAUCCUUUUGCAUACUAUGUAAUAUAAGUAUAAUAGAUUAUGGUCAAUAGAUUUCAGCAAUUUUGUUUGUAAAAUAAGUUUUAGAGGUGUAUUCUUGGAUGCGGAGAGACAUGGACAAAACCCUGCUGUAAUUUGCUGAAAGAUCUCACAAAUGUUUGGCCAUACUGACUAUAUGAAGAGUCUGUAAGAAGUAUGUUGAUCAGCAUAAACUUACUGGGUCUCAUCCUGGGCCACCGUGGAUCUGAAAUAUAGAGAGAAAUAACUCAUCUGGAACCGUCCUGAACUGAAUGUUUUAAACAUUUCAUAUGUUAUAACAUAUUUUGAAAAGUGAAUUGUGUAGAAAUGUGGGAUGAAGGCCAUGUGAGAGUCACAUACUUUGGGUUGCCCAAUCAUAUCCUGAAGCUGAAAUGAAGAACAAUCAAAAUUCACAAAACACUUUGAAUUAAAAUAUCAAGUGAUAUCCAUUCAAUACAGUGUUCUAGAUUAUCAAGAACAAUUGUACCAUCAAAAAAUAGCUCAAAAAAUGAAAAGACACUUAAAAUAUAUGAUUAACAAAAAGGAACAAGUAAAAAGUGGUCCUACAAGUGUAAUAGAAUUUCAGAAAUACAUUUCAGACAUAUUUUUUGCAUGAUAAGUCUGAACAUUAUAGACCUGGACAGAGUACGUUCAUUAAGUCAAGCUCUGCGUAUAGAACUUCAGACUUCACAGAGAACCUUGAUGGUGCUUAAUACUCUAUAUACUAAUAAGUGCACGAAUGGUAUCUUAUAAUUGUACUUUAGUUAACAGUAGUGGAACAAUCAAUAUUGAGCAAUAAACCAUAG